UCGGGAAUUUUGGGCAAUGGGCGAAAGCCUGACCCAGCAACGCCGCGUGCAGGAUGACGGUCCUAUGGAUUGUAAACUGCUUUUGUACAGGAAGAAACAGUUCUACGUGUAGAACCUUGACGGUACUGUAAGAAUAAGGAUCGGCUAACUCCGUGCCAGCAGCCGCGGUAAUACGGAGGAUCCAAGCGUUAUCCGGAAUCAUUGGGUUUAAAGGGUCCGUAGGCGGUUAGAUAAGUCAGUGGUGAAAGCCCAUCGCUCAACGGUGGAACGGCCAUUGAUACUGUCUGACUUGAAUUAUUAGGAAGUAACUAGAAUAUGUAGUGUAGCGGUGAAAUGCUUAGAGAUUACAUGGAAUACCAAUUGCGAAGGCAGGUUACUACUAAUGGAUUGACACUGAGGAGCGAAAGCGUGGGUAGCGAACAGGAUUAGAUACCCCGGUAGUCCCUGAGCGGGCUGGCAAGGCGCAU
rnacentral:rRNA from 1 species